rnacentral:rRNA from 1 species
UACAGAGGGGGCAAGCGUUAUUCGGAAUUAUUGGGCGUAAAGGGCGCGUAGGCGGCCUUGCAAGUGGCGGGUGAAAUCCCUCGGCUUAACCGAGGAACUGCCUGCCAGACUGCAAGGCUCGAGACCGGGAGAGGUGAGUGGAAUUCCCAGUGUAGCGGUGAAAUGCGUAGAUAUUGGGAGGAACACCAGUGGCGAAGGCGGCUUCCUGGCCUGUUCUUGACGCUGAGGCGCGAAAGCUAGGGGAGCAAACGGG